rnacentral:lncRNA from 1 species
AUCACUCUUUCUAAUCCUUUAAGAACAAGUUAUGCUUUCUCCUAAUCUUAGAGAAAAAUGUAUAGAAAUAUUAAUCAGAAGAUGAUUCAUUUGAAGCUCAGUUUCUUUCAAAGGCAUUUACAUUUUCUUUCUUUUAGAAUCAUUCGAGUGAGCUGAAAUAUUUCUUGCUUUAAGAUCAUUCACUCUAUUCUGUCUUUAAUAAUGUAGGAGAGAAAAACAUAUAGAUGAUCAUUGAAAUAUAUAUAUUUAUAGAACUCAAUUUCUUAAUCACAGUUUUUCAGCAAUGUAUACAUGAAGCCCAAUAGAUUUUUUUAAUAUCAAAAUAAAAUCAUAUAUUCAAAAAUAUUUACUUGCAAUCAAGAUCAUUGAAAGCCACAUCAUUUAGGCCAAUAUUAGUAUACUUUGAAGAUAAGAAAUGAUAUGUUUCGGAUGCGUAUUGGAGCAAUCAACCAAAGGCAUCAAAAUUAAUUCUGUUUUUUUUUUCUUUCAUUAAGAUUUUAUUUAGAAAUCAUAUGAGUUUAAGCUUUUAUACAAAAUCAGAUUCUGAAUUUUCAUAAGAAUCUCCAAGAAGGCUCUCAAAAUUUGAGAUAUGUAUCUUCUACUUUGUAGCUCAUCUUAAAUUACUAAGAUUGAAAACACAUAUUUCAAUAACAUUAGAGCACUUUCAGAAUCUUUGUAUUUAGUAUUGAGUUUCGAUACAAAAUGGAGGAUAUUUUAACAAGUAUUAGGAUAUUAUGUAUCAAAGUUAGGCAAGUAGAAAGAUAGAUCAAGAUCAAUUCAUUUUGCCUAAAUAGAGAUAUCUUUCUCUUCUCAUUUCAACUUUCACAUUUUAACGAUGAUUGUAAAUGACAAAUCUGAAUUUUCUUA